rfam:Rattus norvegicus chromosome 10, whole genome shotgun sequence.
GGGGAUUUAGCUUAGUGGUAGAGCACUUGCCUAGCAAGCACAAGGCCCUGGGUUCGGUCCCCAGCUCCG